rnacentral:lncRNA from 1 species
AUGAGGGGCAGCACGUGGAAAUUACCAUGCAAUGCCACUGAGCAUGUUGUGGAUGGCAAGGCAAUAUCUGUCAUAUCUCUGCUUGUGUCCACAGACUCAGGCCCUGUACGUGGCUGCUUGCAGCUCCUUGCACAGUCCUUGGUGGUCCUGUAUCACCCCUGUCCUCUUGUGGGUGGGCCCCCUCAGCUCCUUAGGCAAACUCCUUUGACAGCAUUUGCAAGUCAUCCCCACUGUGCCUCUCUCUCCAGGGCUAAUAUCUCGGUCCCUGGGAGACACGACGUGCCCCUUGCCUGCUUUCCAUGCAGCCACCUCCACCAGGCCACGUGCAUCUCUAUUUUCUUGAGAGUGACUUAUGCACUGGGUUCCUGUCUUCCCAAUUGGCUUCAGGCAAGAGCCACAGCGCAGUCUUCUGAGGAAUGCCCGGCAGCCCCUUCUCACCAGACUUGGGAUGCGGUCUCAGAGGCAGAGUCACUUCACAUCUGGGAAUAAAUCCCAGUCCUACCUGAUUCAUUCAUUUAUUUCACCCACACUUACGGACACUUGCUGUGUGCACUUGCUGCACAGUGUUGGUAUAUGACACAGUGCCGGCUGCUAAGGAGCUCAUGGUCUACUUGAGGGGACAGACACAUAUGGGAUGCAGUGCCCCGGGGUAAGUGCAACAAUGUCAGUAUGGGCGGCAUUUGGAGAGUGUAAAGAAAGAGCCUCCCAUACACCCUUGAAAGGCCGGCAAGUGCUUCCUGGAGUUGAUGGUACCUGAGCUAAAUAUUAAAGAAGUAGAAGCUGGUCAGGUUACAUGGAGGUUGCUGGGUGUGAGCUCACGGCGGGUAGGUUUGCUGUUUCUGGUGCGAGAGACAAACACAAGUAUAUUCAGAGAACUAAAUGGUUUCCUGGCGGCUGCACCUGGAUUCCAGAGAAGUAGAUCUUGAGUGUGAGUUUCUAAAAAAUGAGAUAAGUUAAUGGUCUGUAAUCCCAGCUACUCGGGAGGCUGAGGCAGGAGAAUUGCUUGAAUCGGGGAGGCAGAGGUUGCAGUGAACCAAGACCGCACCACUGCACUCCAGCCUGGGCAACACAGUGAGUGAGACUCCAUCUCAAAAAAAAAAAGUUAAUUGGUAGAGUGAACUUUUCCUCCUGAAUGGGGCCUUGAAGCCAUCAUGGGGCACGGCAAAUGGGUUGGGGUUGCCAGGCCUUGAUCAGAUGACUGGGGGAAACUGGCCGUGGGCUUUGAGCUGUACUUUUUGUCAGACUCUUCCCUGUGGAUGACAGAAGAGCACUUAUAUCUCCCAAACAAGCAUUUGCUAAAAGCAACAGCAACAACCACCACCAACCAAAAAACAAAACAAAACAAAAUCAAACAAACAAAAAAACACCAGAAGAAAAGGGUAAGGAGGCAGGGCACCAGACAAACGGGUUGUCUUUGAGUGUGCAGAGUGGGUGGCUGAGUGUGAGCGUGUCAUCUCCCAGAGGGCAGAAUGCCUUAGGACAGUCCUACGUGGCCUGUGCAGUUAAUACAACCGUCACAAUUUUCUCAGUUACCUGCUCACUGCCCAGAGAGGACACGGUAAGUGUCACCUGAGAAAAGGACUUCUUGGCACUUUGGGGGUUAGACGGUCACCGCGCAACAAGCGGAGGGUUCUUUUCUGAAUCAUUCCCUGUUAUAAUUCAGCAUUAGGGCUCUUGGUUGUGAAUUAAAAAAAAAAAACAAAAAAAAAAACAGAAGGCAAAUUGAUUGGAAGGGUAUUUGGUAGCUCUUUGCUAUCUGUGGGUAGUUGAGCACACCCGCCUGAGCACAAACAAAGGUCGACAAGGCCCAGCGACAUCCUACCCUGGGUGCUCUGGGCUUAGGAUGUUGCUUCUGGGGUCUCACCCUUGUAUGCUACUGCUCCUGGAAACUUCUAUCACACGAAUGGCCUCCGGACAACUUCUAAGUGGUCCUUGACUUUGCUGCAUGGACGCGGAAUUAAAACCUGAGUGGAAGCCUCUGAUUGGCUGUGCUCAGGUCACACGGCCUUGCUGAGGAAGGAGGGAAGGCAACCAUGUGCCCCCUUUGGCCCCUUAAUAAGGGAACCUGUCUCCUGCCUAAUUUGAAAUUUCCUCCCAGAAUAGGAGAGUGUUUGAGUGCUGAAUGGCCCCAAAUGCCAAGUAACUACCGUGGUUUUUGACCUUCCAGACCCGACUUUCAGAGACAUUUUGCUCCCCAGCGCUGCUCACCUUUGGUUUCACAGCAGUUCUGAGGCCCGAGAAACUGAGGAGUUUUUCUGGCCACUUUUGGGAGAAACCAUCUUUUAAAUUCUUGAUCAGUUUCUUCAGCCCCUUCCCUAGAAACAGACACCAUUUCUCUUUGAGUGAAAAGAGAAGUCGUUGCCUAUCUGUAAAGGGGAUUCCCACUUCCUCUGAGAGAGGUUCCUGUCAACAGCCUUCUCUUGUCCUAUGCUGUGUACAUCAGGGGCAAUGAAUUGAGCAGGAGGAAAGGGGACACUUAGUCUCUGACCGUUUCAGUUUUUUCCUGCUUUGACACAGGGCAGAAAUCAUACUGUCUCAUUGAUUAGGGCUCAAGUUAAAACACUCAGGGCCACCUAGACUAUUCUUUUCUUUUUCUUUUUAAGCAGGUUUAUAAUUGACAUAAAAAAGCUGCACAUAUUUAAUGUAUCCAAUUUGAUGAGUUUGAACAUAUGCAUGCCCCUUUGACACCAUUACCACAACCAAGGUAACAGACAGAGCUGCCAUCUCAAAAGUUCACUUGUGUUCCCUCCAUUCCUUUUUUUUAAGGGAAAGAACACUUAACAGGAGAUAUAUCCUCUUAAUAAAUUUUUAAGUGCAUAAUACUGUAUUGUUGACUGUGCAAUGCUGUACAGCAGAUCUCUAGAACUAAUUCACUUGUAUAACUGUAACUUUAUACCCAUUGGGCAAUGACCCCAUUUCCCUUCCCCUUGGCCCCUGGCAACCACCAUUUUAUUCUUUGCUUCUAUGAGCCUAGUUUAGAUACCUCAUCUAAGUGGAAUCAUGCGGUAUUUGUCCUUCUGUGCCUGGCUUAUUUCACUUAGCAUAAUGUCUUCCAGGUUCAUCUAUGUUGUCAAAAAUGGCAGGGUUUCCUUCUUUUCUCAGGCUGAAAAGUUCUAUUGUAUGUGUGUACCACAUUUUCUUUAUCCAUUCAUCUCUUGAUGGACAUUUGGGUUGUUUCCAUAACUUGACUCCUCUUAAUCUUGUUACAGUGAACACAGGAGUGCAGAUAUCUUUUCAAGAUCCUGUUUUCAAUUCUUUUGGGUAUAUACUCGGUAGUAGGAUUGCAAAUUAAAAAUGGAACUCUCACAGACCAUUAUUUUCUUGAUCCUUGGGUGCAUUUACUUUGGGUUUCCUAGGAACUCCUCUGUCUAUGGAUUUGCCUUGUAGAGUCAGAGGGGAUGAUUGGAGAACCUGAAUGGAGAUGUGAAUUUUGAGCCUCUUUGGAAUUCAAACUACUGAUUUACCAGAACCAGAAAAUUUGGCUCUGGCCCCAGUACAGGCUGAGAAAGUUCAUCUUUUUAAAAGGGGGCAGUUCUCCAUUAGUUAGGGUACUGGAAUGGUCCAGGGAGGGAUAACUCAGGCCAUUUGCUUUGCUUCCUUCCCUUUUUUUCUUUCUUUGUGAUCUUUGGCCAGUUCAUGGCUUUCUAAUCCUGCCACUGGGGGAUGAAGGAAGAUUAAACUUGUCCUGUUGCCUUUACAUGUUAUGAGCUCUCCAGAAAAAGUUUGCAUGGGAAUGGCUGAAGAUGUGGUAAGUUAAAAUGAAAUCAAUACACAGUUUACUAUCCACGUCUUUCUGCUACCCUGCGAAUUUUCUUCCUCUCCAUGUAAUCUCUUUAUUGCAGCCUAAGAACUUUGUUAAGGGCUCCAUGACCAGGGUCUGUAGGAAACUCCUAAGACCUGAGGUUUCACCAGCAGAAAUGACAGCUGUUCCAAAAACAGAAAGGAGGUAAUUUCUUGUUUCAAAUUUCUCCAAAGGUGAGAGUUAAGACUCACUCUCAAGAUCUUUAUGCCUCACAGGCAAUGAGAGGAAGGGGUGACAUUUUAACAGAUCACAUUCCCAAAGCCAAUCCAACAGGAGGGCUGGAAUUUGGGGAGGCUGCAGGGAGCAGGACUUUGGUGCUGUAAUCACUGGUUAUCCUGUAAUAGUAUUACAGGAGACUUUCCUGGUCACUGAGAACCAGAACUGUAGCUGAUUUUCAGCCCAAGACUUGGUGGGUUCUGUGGAGUUCAGCAUUCAAAGCCCUACCAUCAACUGCGACUUCAGUGUCACAGGCAGAUGGUGUCACCAAGGCAUAAUGACUCCUGACCUGUGGCUCUGCUCUUCCUCCUUUCUCUUCCUCUCUCCCUUUCCCUGGGGGUCCGUGGCCCAGACCCGCAUUCCUUUGUUAUCACACUUCCUUCCACAGACUGCACAGGCCUGCUCAGGGCACCAAGCUGUGUGAAAAUGCUCCAGGCUGGUGGGAACACCGCUCCCAGAAAGAAUCUGACUUGUUUCAGAAGCUUAUCUUCUGGCGCUUGCUCUUCCAAAGGAAAAGGCUGUGGCAGGAGGAUAAAAGAGGCAAUCCAAGAGUGGGUGAGACGGAACCAGUUACACGCAUCUCAGCCCAGGGAGGGAGUGAGGAAGGAAUGAAUGUGGCCUAAGUCCCUCACUUGCAAUGUGUAAGAGAUAAAUGAACCUGCUCACCCUCCGUCUCACCCAGCCACACUCAGGGUCAUUUGCUGUAGCCCAGUUGGCUGCCGCUCGGGUGGGGUUGCCAGGUAGAAUAAUGGUCACCCACAGCUGCUCCUCCACAGGGGCUGAGCCCAGGGUGGCUUCACUGGAAGAGGGUGUGGGACAAGCUGGGUGUCCUGGCUGACAUCUCUGCUAGCUGUUGGAAAGUUGAGUGAGGGAUGGGGUAGCUGUAUCUGUGUGUGUAUAUGUGACGGAGUGUGUGUUUGCUGGGUCUUCAUAUGUGUUUGUUUCAGAUGGACGUGUGUG